UACGGAGGGUGCGAGCGUUGUCCGGAAUCACUGGGCGUAAAGGGCGCGUAGGCGGCCUGAUAACUAGGGGGUGAAAUCCUGCGGCUUAACCGCAGGGCUGCCUUCUAAACUGUCAGGCUUGAGCACAGUAGAGGCAGGUGGAAUUCCCGGUGUAGCGGUGGAAUGCGUAGAGAUCGGGAAGAACAUCAGUGGCGAAGGCGGCCUGCUGGGCUGUUGCUGACGCUGAGGCGCGACAGCGUGGGGAGCAAACAGG
rnacentral:rRNA from 1 species